GGAGUUCUUACGCCACGACCGCAGGGCGAACACUGGUCUCCAAAACCAGACGCAGAGGGUUCGAUUUCUUCCGGGACUGCCA
rnacentral:tRNA from 1 species